CAAAUUACAAGAGACAUCUUUAUGGACAUUUUUCAAUAUUUUAUUACAAUCUCAAUCCAGAAAAUAUCAUUAGUUCAUGACAUAUACACAUUCUUACAUGGAACCUCCUUCCCCCCAACUUUUUAAGCAGGUAAAUCGUAUUUCAUAUACAUGAUAUACAUCAAACAUUAAAAAAUAAAAGUUCAGGGAUUCCAAGGCUAUUUGUGGUCCCCCAGACAGUCCCCCAGGCUUUCAUGCAUACACUUACUCUUCUUGGUCAUACAUCAGCCAUGAGCAACAAAUACAUAUAAACCCUCCUCAAAUGGAUUGACCAAGUAGAGAGAUCAGCAAGAAAUGCUACCAGGAAUUACUUCCUUCAUUCAGUAAUCUGCCCAUUUCGAAACAUGGUGCUUACCUUUGUCUACUGUCAGUGAGAUACGAUUAGGUUACACAGAACAUAGCUGAAUAAAAUGUCAGGGUUUUUAUUUGGUUCUAUUAAUGUAACUCCCCUGUGCUACUGUCAUAAUGCUGUUUAGUAUUUAGAAGUAAAUUGAGUUUGCAAAUUAAGAUGGUAGUAAAAUGUUAAUUACCGAGUUAAGUGCAAUAAUGUAAUCCCCGCCCCUCCUGUCCCCCAUUCUAAUCCGUGUUCCAGGCUUCAUUUAAAAGUGGUAACACAAACACUACUUGCCUUUAAAAAUGUAAGCAUUAAAGGAAAAAGAAAGUCAGAAUAUUUUUUUUCUUUAAAAAAAGUGUUGAAAAUAUUUUAACUUGAAAAAAAAUUGGGUCACUUUUACUGAAAGACAGUUUAUAGAAAAAAUUUUUUUUUUAAAUGCUAAGUUCUGAAUUGUACAAAAAUGAUACACAAGUUUGGAAACAAAGAAUGAUUUGAUUCUCUAUCCAAAACUGAAGUUCAGAUGGUUAGCCUACCUGGGAAGAGCACUUCUAAAAAAUAUUGUGCCCCGGGACUCUUUCUAGCAUGCUCAAACUCUACUAAGUUUUUUUAAACAUUAUUUUACUGGGUAAC